AUCCCGCGCAUGUCCGGGUUUGACAUGUACCUCCCUGUUGGACUUGCCCGGGCCUUUGUGCCCGGGUCUCUUU
rnacentral:ncRNA from 1 species